AUUGAACGCUGGCGGCAUGCUUUACACAUGCAAGUCGAACGGCAGCACGGGGGCAACCUUGGUGGCGAGUGGCGAACGGGUGAGUAAUGCAUCGGAACGUAUCCUUAAGUGGGGGAUAACGCAUCGAAAGAUGCGCUAAUACCGCAUAAUCUCUAAGGAGAAAAGCAGGGGAUCGCAAGACCUUGCGCUUUUGGAGCGGCCGAUGUCUGAUUAGCUAGUUGGUGAGGUAAAGGCUUACCAAGGCUUCGAUCAGUAGCUGGUCUGAGAGGACGACCAGCCACACUGGAACUGAGACACGGUCCAGACUCCUACGGGAGGCAGCAGUGGGGAAUAUUGGACAAUGGGGGAAACCCUGAUCCAGCGACGCCGCGUGUGUGAAGAAGGCCUGCGGGUUGUAAAGCACUUUUAGUGGGGAUGAAAAGUUCAGGGCUAAUAUCCUUGGGCAUUGACCUAACCCACAGAAAAAGCACCGGCUAACUCUGUGCCAGCAGCCGCGGUAAUACAGAGGGUGCAAGCGUUAAUCGGAAUUACUGGGCGUAAAGCGUGCGUAGACGGUUCCGUAAGUCGGGUGUGAAAGCCCCGGGCUCAACCUGGGAAUUGCAUUCGAGACUGCGAAGCUAGGGUACGGAAGAGGGAAGCGGAAUUUCUGGUGUNNNGGUGAAAUGCGUAGAUAUCAGAAGGAACAUCAGUGGCGAAAGCGGCUUCCUGGUCCAGUGCCGACGUUCAAGCACGAA
rnacentral:rRNA from 1 species